CUUAGUCUCUCAUUCCCUCUCUCACUUCUCAACUCUAUUCUCAGUCAACUCUAUCUCCUUCACUUCUCUAUUCUCAGUCUCACUUCUCUAUCUCCUUCACAUCUAACCUCUUGGAUCUGUCUUCAAGUUUUACCAUUUCUCAUGUAGGUGGCUGGCGCAAGAGGCUGGACAGCGACGGAAAUGGGGCUUAACGGUGCGUGGGCUCGACGAUAAUCUUGGAGAAGAUUGCGCUGUCUUUGAGAAUUUGUUUGAGUUUUGAUACUCAUUUACAGUCCAUUAUGAUGAUUCAACUUUUGAAUGAGCAUGAAUCUUUGAAUUAUUGUGUGCUCCCUGCCUGUCAAUUACUACCAGUAAAAUCAUAGGGUAUCAAAAUUUUUAUUGUAGCUGUCACACUCGCUUGGAACUCUAAUCGAAUCUUCAUAGUUUAACAUGGCAGGGUGAUGACGGUUAGUUUUCACAAGUUUGGAGACAAGUUUUUUCCUGGAACCAGUGAUGUCAAGUUUUCAGUGUUGGUCCUGAGGAUGCUGCAGUUGUUGGUAAUCAACUGUCAGAAGAAGAGAAAACUACUCUUCAGGGAGCUGCUGUAACCUUGGCUGAGUUAGGAGAAUAUACCCGAGCGGUCUCUUUGCUUGAGAACUUGACAAAGGAGAAGCCAAGUGACCCUGAUGUUUUUCGUUUGCUUGGAGAAGUUAAGUAUAAACUAAAGGAUUAUGAGGGAAGCGCUAACGCAUAUGAAAGUGCUGCAAAGGUGUUUUUUCAGUUUAUGCAAGACAUUUUACUACUCAUGUUUUGCUUAGUCUG